UACGAAGGGGGCUAGCGUUGUUCGGAAUUACUGGGCGUAAAGCGCGUGUAGGCGGGUCUUUAAGUCAGGGGUGAAAUGCCAAGGCUCAACCUUGGAACUGCCUUUGAUACUGGAGAUCUUGAGUCCGGGAGAGGUGAGUGGAAUUGCGAGUGUAGAGGUGAAAUUCGUAGAUAUUCGCAAGAACACCAGUGGCGAAGGCGGCUCACUGGCCCGGAACUGACGCUGAGACGCGGAAAGCGUGGGGAGCAAACAGG
rnacentral:rRNA from 1 species